UAGCUAGGUCUAUGCAACAGAGAAUCACGAACUCCGCCAGGCCUGGAAGGGAGCAACGGUAGUGACACUCUCUGUGUGCGUAGGUUGCCUAGCUACCAU
rnacentral:SRP_RNA from 1 species